rnacentral:rRNA from 1 species
GACGAACGCUGGCGGCGUGCUUAACACAUGCAAGUCGAACGGAAAGGCCCUGCCUUUGUGGGGUGCUCGAGUGGCCACCGGGUGAGUUACACGUGAGUAACCUGCCCCUCACUUUGGGAUAACUUCAGAAAACUGGGGCUAAUAGCGGAUAGGAGCUACCGCUGCAUGGUGGGGGCUGGAAAGUUUCGGCGGUUGGGGGUGGACUCGCGGCUUAUCAGCUUGGUGGUGGGGUAGUGGCUUAGCAAGGCUUGGACGGGUAGCCGGCCUGCGAGGGUGACCGGCCACGUCGGGACUGGGCUAAGGCCCGGACUCGUACGGGAGGCAGCAGUGGGGAAGAUUGCACAAUGGGCGGAACCCUAAUGCAGCAACGCCGCGUGCGGGAUGAGGGCCAGCGGGUUGUAUUCCGCUUUCGCCUGUGACGAAGCGUGAGUGACGGUAAUGGGUAAAGAAGCACCGGCUAACUACGUG